rnacentral:rRNA from 1 species
AGAGUUUGAUCAUGGCUCAGAACGUACGCUGGCGGCACGCCUAACACAUGCAAGUCGAACGAAGUAGCAAUACUUAGUGGCAGACGGGUGAGUAACAUGUAGGUAUCUGCCCUUUGGCCUGGAAUAACACGAGGAAACUUGUGCUAAUACUGGAUAAGUCUUUACGGAGAAAGCUUUAUGCACCAUUGGAUGAGCCUGCACUUGAUUAGUUUGUUGGUGGGGUAAUGGCCUACCAAGACUGUGAUCAAUAGCUGAUUUGAGAGGAUGAUCAGCCACAUUGGGACUGAGACACGGCCCAAACUCCUACGGGAGGCAGCAGUGGGGAAUCUUGCACAAUGGAGGAAACUCUGAUGCAGCGAUGCCGCGUGAGUGAAGAAGGCCCUUGGGUUGUAAAGCUCUUUCGUCGGGGAAGAAAAUGACUGUACCCGAAUAAGAAGGUCCGGCUAACUUCGUGCCAGCAGCCGCGGUAAUACGAAGGGACCUAGCGUAGUUCGGAAUUACUGGGCUUAAAGAGUUCGUAGGUGGUUGAAAAAGUUGGUGGUGAAAUCCCAGAGCUUAACUCUGGAACUGCCAUCAAAACUUUUCAGCUAGAGUAUGAUAGAGGAAAGCAGAAUUUCUAGUGUAGAGGUGAAAUUCGUAGAUAUUAGAAAGAAUACCAAUUGCGAAGGCAGCUUUCUGGAUCAUUACUGACACUGAGGAACGAAAGCAUGGGUAGCGAAGAGGAUUAGAUACCCUCGUAGUCCAUGCCGUAAACGAUGUGUGUUAGACGUUGGAAAUUUAUUUUCAGUGUCGCAGCGAAAGCGAUAAACACACCGCCUGGGGAGUACGACCGCAAGGUUAAAACUCAAAUGAAUUGACGGGGACCCGCACAAGUAGUGGAGCAUGUGGUUUAAUUCGAAGAUACGCGCAGAACCUUACCAACACUUGACAUGUUCGUCGCGACUUUAAGAGAUUAAAGUUUUCGGUUCGGCCGGACGAAACACAGGUGCUGCAUGGCUGUCGUCAGCUCGUGUCGUGAGAUGUUGGGUUAAGUCCCGCAACGAGCGCAACCCUCACUUUUAGUUGCCAUCAUUAAGUUGGGCACUCUGAAAGAACUGCCAGUGAUAAGCUGGAGGAAGGUGGGGAUGACGUCAAGUCCUCAUGGCCCUUACGUGUUGGGCUACACACGUGCUACAAUGGUAUCUACAACAGGAAGCAAAACUGCGAAGUUAAGCAAAUCCUUAAAAGAUACCUCAGUUCGGAUUGCACUCUGCAACUCGAGUGCAUGAAGCUGGAAUUACUAGUAAUCGUGGAUCAGCGUGCCACGGUGAAUGCGUUCCCGGGUCUUGUACACACCGCCCGUCACACCAUGGGAGUUGGUUCUACCUUAAGGCAAGGUUUAAAACCCUUGACCACGGUAUAGUCAGCGACUGGGGUGAAGUCAUAACAAGGUAACCGUA